rnacentral:rRNA from 1 species
UACAGAGGUCUCAAGCGUUGUUCGGAUUCAUUGGGCGUAAAGGGUGCGUAGGUGGCGCCGUAAGUCGGGUGUGAAAUUUCGGAGCUUAACUCCGAAACUGCAUUCGAUACUGCGGUGCUUGAGGACUGGAGAGGAGACUGGAAUUCAUGGUGUAGCAGUGAAAUGCGUAGAGAUCAUGAGGAAGACCAGUGGCGAAGGCGGGUCUCUGGACAGUUCCUGACACUGAGGAACGAAGGCCAGGGGAGCAAACGGG